UACAGAGGGUGCAAACGUUGCUCGGAAUUACUGGGCGUAAAGCGCGUGUAGGCGGUUUUAUAAGUCCGACGUGAAAGCCCAGGGCUCAACCCUGGAAGUGCGUUGGAUACUGUGAAGCUGGAGUCCUGAAGAGGAGAGCGGAAUUCCCGGUGUAGAGGUGAAAUUCGUAGAUAUCGGGAGGAACACCUGUGGCGAAGGCGGCUCUCUGGGCAGGUACUGACGCUGAGACGCGAAAGCGUGGGGAGCAAACAGG
rnacentral:rRNA from 1 species